UACAGAGGGGGCGAGCGUUGUUCGGAAUUACUGGGCGUAAAGGGCUCGUAGGUGGCCAACUAAGUCAGACGUGAAAUCCCUCGGCUUAACCGGGGAACUGCGUCUGAUACUGGAUGGCUUGAGUUUGGGAGAGGGAUGCGGAAUUCCAGGUGUAGCGGUGAAAUGCGUAGAUAUCAGGAAGAACACCGAUGGCGAAGGCAGUUCUCUGGGACGGUACUGACGCUGAGACGCGAAAGCGUGGGGAGCGAACAGG
rnacentral:rRNA from 1 species